rnacentral:lncRNA from 1 species
AUCUUAAAAGAAUAUAAAACAUGUCGUGUAAUUAAAUGGGGUUAUGUGUUACUCAUCAGAAUGCCCUGCAAAUCAGGAAAUAACGUGCGAGAGCCUGCGCUCGUCCCAUGGAUACAUAUACACUGUGCCGCCGGAGAUCCCGUGCUCUGAAAAGUGCGAACAAGGAUGGUACUAUCAGAAUGGGACGUUUAUUGUCGACUCAACUCCGAAUGCCGGUGGAAGGAGGUUACCGGUUGUAGUGGAUGUAACGCCUCAGAAUCUGACAAUCCGUGUCUGCGAGAAUCUGCAGUGGCAACUUGACUGUGGCAAGUGUAGCUGUGUUAUCAAUUAUACAGUUACAGAUUUGAAACAUUCAGCAGCACGUGACCCCCUGCCAAGAAAUAAUACAACAUGGGAUGAACAAGAUGGCAGCCAUGAUGGCAACAGUAAGCAUUUACCUGCCUGGGUGAUUGCUUUAAUCAUAAUCGUGGUUGUUGGAGUAUGUACCGCCAUUUUGGUCAUUGGAAAAAGGGCAAAAUGCUUCUGUAAACAAAAAGAUGUACUUUAGUGGCAAUGAUUUGUGCCUUCGAGCAAAUCACCUCAGGUUCCUCCAGAGGGACUGUGCCUGGAAUACAUGUUAUAUAAGCCACUUUGGCAAAAACUUUAAAUGACCAAAAUAAUCACUAUCGUACUUUCUUUAUUUCCACUUUUUUUUCUUGUAUGAUUUUCACAAACGUUGUUUUAGUAGUUUUUAGCAUCUAACUUUUAUGGAUUGUAGAGCUUUGUGUGUGCUUUUUAAUCCAAUGUAACCUUAAAUCUGUCUUGUGCUACAUGACAUACAGAGCUAUAGAGGACACUGACACUGAAAUUAAGAAAAAUUGCAUUAUCUAAAACAAAUUUUAAUAAUGAUGAAUUAGAUCAUUUUAUUUAGCGUUGUAUUAUAUAUAUAUAUAUAUAUAUAUCAUAUACAUAAAUCAUAAAUAAAUAUAAAAAAAUUAAUAUAUCUAUAUACUGACAUGCACAGUUUUUCCUUAA